GCGCCGUUAGUUCAAUGGUAAAAUACGAGAUUCCCAAUCUCGAGGCACGGGUUCGAUUCCCGUACGGCGCA
rnacentral:tRNA from 1 species